rnacentral:lncRNA from 1 species
UGUUCUAACGAUGGUUUAUGAGAUUCAAUUAAAGAUUACAGGGCUGGUUUGGUCCACAGAACAUCAGUUCUUGAUCGCGAUCUCCCAAAAGCAUGAAGUUACAUUAGAUGUUCUCUUCCUAUAAUCUUGAAAUUUCUGCUUUGGAAGUUACAUUAGAUGUUCUCUUCCUAUAAUCUUGAAAUUUCUGCUUUGGAAUAAAUCCUCCAAAAUGGGUUAGGUGGAUUUGGUUCUGCUUCACUAGUUUAAGGUUUAUUUCUUUUGUUAGCCUUCACUAGAAAAAU